UACAGAGACUGCAAGCGUUAUUCGGAUUCACUGGGCGUAAAGGGUGCGCAGGCGGCCGAGUGUGUGAGGCGUGAAAGCCCGGGGCUUAACCCCGGAAUUGCACCUCAAACUACACGGCUAGAGCAUUGGAGAGGGUAGCAGAAUUCAUGGUGUAGCAGUGAAAUGCGUAGAGAUCAUGAGGAAGACCAGUGGCGAAGGCGGGUCUCUGGACAGUUCCUGACACUGAGACACGAAGGCCAGGGGAGCAAACGGG
rnacentral:rRNA from 1 species